rnacentral:rRNA from 1 species
UGCAACCUACCUAUAACUGGGAAAUAGCUCGGAGAAAUUCGAGUUAAUGUCCCAUAGGAUCUUAGAGUGGCAUCACUUAGAGAUUAAAGAUUUAUCGGUUAUAGAUGGGCAUGCGGUUGAUUAGCUAGUUGGUAAGGUAACGGCUUACCAAGGCUACGAUCAAUAGGGGGUCUGAGAGGAUGGUCC